rnacentral:rRNA from 1 species
GACGAACGCUGGCGGCGUGCUUAACACAUGCAAGUCGAACGAUGAAGCAGAGAAACGCGCCCUUCGGUUCAAGUUUAACUUCGGAUUAGUGCCAGACGGGUGAGUAACGCGUGAGCAAACUACCUCUUACAAAGGGAUAGCCUCGGGAAAACGUGCUUAAUACCAUAUGACACAUUCAUAAGGCAUCUUAAGAAUGUUAAAGCUACGGCGGUAAGGGAUGGGCUCGCGUCCCAUUAGCUAGUUGGUGAGGUAACGGCCCACCAAGGCGACGGUGGGUAACCGGGCGGGGAGGGGGAACCGUCACAUUGGAGCUGAGACACGGUCCAAACUCCUACGCGAGGCAGGAGAGUGGAAUAUAGCACGAGGGAGGGAACUCUGAUGCAGCGACGCCGCGGAAGCGAUGAAGGAAGUCGUUACGUAAAGCUCUGUUCUAUGGGAAGAAAGGGACGGUACCAUAUGAGAAAGCCCCGGCUAAAUACGUG